rnacentral:rRNA from 1 species
CAGCAGCGCGGUAAAACGGAGGGAGCUAGCGUUGUUCGGAAUUACUGGGCGUAAAGCGCGCGUAGGCGGUUACUCAAGUCAGAGGUGAAAGCCCGGGGCUCAACCCCGGAACUGCCUUUGAAACUAGGUGACUAGAAUCUUGGAGAGGUCAGUGGAAUUCCGAGUGUAGAGGUGAAAUUCGUAGAUAUUCGGAAGAACACCAGUGGCGAAGGCGACUGACUGGACAAGUAUUGACGCUGAGGUGCGAAAGCGUGGGGAGCAAACAGGAUUAGAUACCCCCGUAGUCCCUGUCUCUUAUACA